rnacentral:sRNA from 1 species
ACUGAUAUAUUGAUCAGUAUGAGGUCAAUAUGAGUAUAUUGUGAGAUAUCCUACGACAUCACAUUAAGACAGUUCAAGUACUGAAGAUUCCAGGAUGAUCUAUUCUUUUUAAAAUUAGGAAUGAUGCUUACCAUGUAUUUGCUUCUCAUGAAAAGAGAAAUGGGUAGAAUUACAGACAUCUUUAGAUGUAAGAUGUCUUGUAAGAUGUAAGAAGCUUGCAUAACCCCUGUGAACAACCAUAGGAGAAUGUGAAGGUGGAAAAAUGUCUUUGAUACUAGAAUUAGAAUUCCUACUCAGUAGGAAUUGAUUGUGCACAGGGGGAGAUCAGUUCUGGUGCCCAUCUUAUGUUUCCAAAGGAACGUUUAAAGUUAGUUCCGAAGUAGUCUUCCUGAUCAUGUGUGCAAGACUUCAUGACCAAGCUCCCAGAUGAUCCAGGUCAGUCCUGUUUGGGCUUUUAGAAACCAGAGGAGUUGGAAAUUCAGGGACAGUCUUGUCAAAAUUCUCCAUCUUGAUUUGAUAUUCACCUUUGGAACCUCGGGUCAACAGAGAU